rnacentral:rRNA from 1 species
UACGGAGGGUGCAAGCGUUAUCCGGAUUUAUUGGGUUUAAAGGGUCCGUAGGCGGAUCCGUAAGUCAGUGGUGAAAUCUCAUAGCUUAACUAUGAAACUGCCAUUGAUACUGCGGGUCUUGAGUGAGAUUGAGGUAGCUGGAAUAAGUAGUGUAGCGGUGAAAUGCAUAGAUAUUACUUAGAACACCAAUUGCGAAGGCAGGUUACCAAGUCUUAACUGACGCUGAUGGACGAAAGCGUGGGGAGCGAACAGG